rnacentral:sRNA from 1 species
AGUUAGGCUUGCUCACUCAUCCACACCAAAGGAUCUCAUUCCGCUCGGGCCCUGGGGUUUCACGGGAACAAUUGCCUUGAACAAUAGCCAGAAAACGAGUUCCACCAGUCUGAACUUUUUUGCAACUGAAUGCAGCUGUCUGGCAUGGACCAGCCCUGUAAAUGGGCUCUGCCUUGAUUCUGGAGCAGAACUGGAAAAUUGAGCAGCUGGGACGACAGCAGCUCCGUCAGCAGCGGCAUCAGCGACACCAUAGACAACCUCAGCACUGAUGACAUCAACACCAGCUCCUCCAUCAGCUCUUAUGCCAACACACCUGCCUCGUCUCGAAAAAACCUGGAUGUGCAGACUGAUGCUGAGAAGCACUCACAGGUGGAGAGGAAUUCCCUGUGGUCUGGUGAUGAUGUCAAGAAAUCAGACGGAGGCUCAGACAGCGGCAUAAAAAUGGAGCCAGGUUCCAAGUGGAGGCGGAAUCCUUCUGACGUGUCUGACGAGUCUGACAAAAGCACGUCGGGCAAGAAGAAUCCUGUCAUCUCCCAGACAGGCUCAUGGCGGCGAGGCAUGACAGCUCAGGUGGGCAUCACCAUGCCAAGGACGAAGCCGUCAGCCCCGGCAGGCGCACUGAAGACCCCAGGAACUGGAAAAACAGACGAUGCAAAGGUGU